rnacentral:snRNA from 1 species
AUACUUACCUGGCGUAGGGGUUACCGUGAUCAUUAAGGCGGUUCCCCCGAGGCGAGGCCUUUCCAUUGCACAUCGGUUGGGUUGACCCUUGCGAUUAUCUAUCUAGAUUUAUUCUUAAAAUCAUCCACUGCACUGGUAAAAAUAAAAGGUUAAAAUUGAUCCGAAUUUGAUCUUCUU